rnacentral:rRNA from 1 species
GAAUGCUGACAUAAGUAACGAUAAAGCGGGUGAAAAGCCCGCUCGCCGGAAGACCAAGGGUUCCUGUCCAACGUUAAUCGGGGCAGGGUGAGUCGACCCCUAAGGCGAGGCCGAAAGGCGUAGUCGAUGGGAAACAGGUUAAUAUUCCUGUACUUGGUGUUACUGCGAAGGGGGGACGGAGAAGGCUAUGUUGGCCGGGCGACGGUUGUCCCGGUUUAAGCGUGUAGGCUGGUUUUCCAGGCAAAUCCGGAAAAUCAAGGCUGAGGCGUGAUGACGAGGCACUACGGUGCUGAAGCGACAAAUGCCCUGCUUCCAGGAAAAGCCUCUAAGCAUCAGGUAACAUCAAAUCGUACCCCAAACCGACACAGGUGGUCAGGUAGAGAAUACCAAGGCGC